CCUACGUGUGGCAGCAGUGGGGAAUAUUGGACAAUGGGCGAAAGCCUGAUCCAGCCAUGCCGCGUGUGUGAAGAAGGCCUUCGGGUUGUAAAGCACUUUCAGUGGGGAAGAAAGCCUUGGGGCUAAUACCCUCGAGGAAGGACAUCACCCACAGAAGAAGCACCGGCUAACUCCGUGCCAGCAGCCGCGGUAAUACGGAGGGUGCGAGCGUUAAUCGGAAUUACUGGGCGUAAAGCGCGCGUAGGCGGUCUGAUAAGCCGGUUGUGAAAGCCCCGGGCUCAACCUGGGAACGGCAUCCGGAACUGUCAGGCUAGAGUGCAGGAGAGGAAGGUAGAAUUCCCGGUGUAGCGGUGAAAUGCGUAGAGAUCGGGAGGAAUACCAGUGGCGGAGGCGGCCUUCUGGACUGACACUGACGCUGAGGUGCGAAAGCGUGGGUAGCAAACAGGAUUAGAUACCCUAGUAGUC
rnacentral:rRNA from 1 species